GCUGGGGAUUUGUUGGGGUGUGGAGGCCCUGACACCGACAGGCCGGGAUGGCUGUGAGAAGGUUGGCCUGGGAGAAAGAGAGACAUCUUGUCCCAGGAGGCCCAGGGCAAACUCCCUCUCCACAGGCACAGGGACAAUGUUGCCAGGCAAGCUUAAACAGAAGAGACAGCAGAGCAAACACUCCAGC